GGGCCGCCGAGCUCGCGCAGGCGCGGGGCCGCCCAGGACCGAUGGCGGCCGUGGACCUGGCGGCCGAGUUCCCCCAGCCCGCCGGUGCUACGCGCUGGGCGGAGGUUAUGGCUCGCUUCGCCGCCGGGCUGGGCUCGCAGGGGCGGCGGGUGGUGUUGGUCACGUCCGGUGGCACCAAGGUCCCCCUGGAAGCCCGGCCGGUGCGCUUCCUGGACAACUUCAGCAGCGGGCGGCGCGGGGCCACCUCCGCAGAGGCCUUUCUGGCCGCUGGCUACGGCGUCCUGUUCCUGUACCGCGCUCGCUCUGCCUUCCCCUUUGCCCACCGCUUCCCGCCCCAGACCUGGCUGUCGGCGUUGCGACCCUCUGGCCGAGCCCCUCCCGGCCUGCUGAGUCUGGAGGCGGAGGAGAAGUCCCUUCCGGGCUUCGCUGCGGCUCUGCGGAGCUACCAGGAGGCUGAGGCUGCCGGCACCUUCUUGGCCGUAGAGUUCACCACUUUGGCCGACUAUUUGCAUCUGCUGCAGGCUGCAGCCCAGGCGCUCAAUCCGCUAGGCUCUUCUGCGAUGUUUUACCUGGCUGCGGCCGUGUCAGAUUUCUAUGUUCCUGCCUCUGAAAUGCCUGAACACAAGAUCCAGUCAUCUGGGGGCCCGCUGCAGGUGAUGGGCGCGUCUCUUCCGGAGAUCUGAUUCCCUAUAACCAAUCUCGGGUUAAUUUCCUUUUGAUCUGGAGAUGGCCUCUGUGCAUCCCAUAUGUGCUAGGCACUAGGGAUACAGAGAUGAAUAGGACACCGCCCUCCCUAAAGGACCUCACAGUCUAGUGAGGUUGCUGGACACAGACAUAAUUACAGUACAGAGUCAUAAAUGCUCUGGUAGAGGUACGUACAAGUGGAGUCAGCAUGGGGUGAGUGAAACUUGGGGGAAGUCAGGGCUUUCUGGAGGAGAUGGCUUGAACGGGGUGUUAAAAGGUGCGUAGAAGGGGGACCCGACAAAGUAGGGAAGAUCAUUCCAGAUAGAGUACACAGUCGGGGUUUGGAGGUGGGCAGUGCCUUGUGAGAGAAAGUUGUUCCCGAAGGCUCCAGAGUCAGGAGGGUGGUGGGGGUGGAGGGAGGACUGGAGAGACAGCUUACUUCAUAGGAGAUUUUGUACUCCUUCUUGAGGAGGUUGGACUUAAUCCUCUGGAGCCAAGGGAGCCCACGUAGGAGAGUGAUGAAUAAAGUUUUUGCUGGAGAAGAACAUUCUGGCAUCAGUAUGGAAGGUGACUCCGAGCGAGCGAGAGUGGAGGGUAGCGUGGAUGAUAACAAUGAAGAUGGUGCCAAAAAUGCUUUCUCCUUUGGUUAAAGACUGGGCUCCCCAAGCAUUUAUAAUUUCCUUUAAAUUGGAGACUGACC